rnacentral:tRNA from 1 species
GUAGUUGUGGCUGAGUGGUAAAGGUGGUGGACUUGAAAUCCUUCGGGGAUUCUCUGCACAGGUUCAAGUUCUGUUUACUAGG